AUUGAACGCUGGCGGCAGGCUUAACACAUGCAAGUCGAGCGGAGAUGAGGUGCUUGCACCUUAUCUUAGCGGCGGACGGGUGAGUAAUGCUUAGGAAUCUGCCUAUUAGUGGGGGACAACAUUCCGAAAGGAAUGCUAAUACCGCAUACGUCCUACGGGAGAAAGCAGGGGAUCUUCGGAACUUGCGCCAAUAGAUGAGCCUAAGUCGGAUUAGCUAGUUGGUGGGGUAAAGGCCUACCAAGGCGACGAUCUGUAGCGGGUCUGAGAGGAUGAUCCGCCACACUGGGACUGAGACACGGCCCAGACUCCUACGGGAGGCAGCAGUGGGGAAUAUUGGACAAUGGGGGGAACCCUGAUCCAGCCAUGCCGCGUGUGUGAAGAAGGCCUUAUGGUUGUGAAGCACUUUAAGCGAGGAGGAGGCUACUGAGACUAAUACUCUUGGAUAGUGGACGUUACUCGCAGAAUAAGCACCGGCUAACUCUGUGCCAGCCGCCGCGGUAAAAC
rnacentral:rRNA from 1 species